AGCCAAGGGAGAAAUCCUUGGUGCAAAGAAAAAAAUGUUAUGAGGCUGGGUCUGUGGUUCCACAGACGGAAAUAAAGAAUGUUAACUCAUGCUUUUUGUGGAGUAAAUUCCUGGGUUCCUGGCUCUCAUUGUGGAAAAGGAAUUUUCAGGAUGCACUGGUGGAAAUGACACAAAAAGCGUUUAUUAGAGAUUUUUAGGACACACUGAGGCUUGGAGUGUGGGUGCUCAGAGAAAAUGCACAGUAGGAGCUGGAGCUGGUGGGUAUUAGGGUCCUCGAGGUGGAAUCUGGAGUGUGCAUUGUAGCUGUGUCAGGUCACAAACGCAUCUACAUGUAUGUAGGGUUGAGCCUUGCUGCUGCUCCCUGAGAGUGAAGGGAUCGCACUGUACAGAUGAAAAGAACAGAUUCACAGCCUUACUGUCAAAGCAGUUUUAAGGAUUUUUUUUUUUUUUUCUUGAGGGAGUUUCCUUGAAGAAAAUGAAAAAGAAGAUCUGAGUGGCCUUUGUGACUUGGAGCUGCAGUUUUGGGACCAUGCUUCUCAUGCUUCUCAUCUUACACUCAUUCCCCUUUCCUCAGACACUUCAGGACUCAGUGUGAAGAUGAGAAAGUGAACCUCCAGCCUCAGGAACCGAAGCAGCCAGAUGAAGUUAGAACAGCCGUGUCAAGGAAAGGAACACGCAGGUGUUGGAAAGGGAGGGAUCCCACUUUCCAAAGGAAGGCUGCAGAUGAGUUUCUCCGUGAACUUUCCUCAUAAGCUCGGAACAAUUUUCCACCCGUGGCCUAUUGUCCCAUGACUGGAUGCUGGGGCUCCCCAGCAUAUGGAGGAAUGCACCCUGUGAAAUGGUGACUGUACCCAAACUGUCUAUUUUAUGAUCAAGAAAAAACAGAAGAGGACUGACCAUCAGCAUCUCCAAGCUCUCCAAUGGAAGCACAGGUUUCCUUGGUUCUAUUUCAUUGACACAGGACCAAAGGUCUUUCCAAGAUGAACCAGCUAACAGAGAUAUAUGGGGCCAUGAGCCAGUAACAUUCAUGGUAGUAACUGAACACCCACUCAUCUCUCAUGCCCGAGGCCCCACCACACCAGAACACAGUAGCACUGUGCUCUGAGAUACCUUUGAUGCCUGUGGGUCUGGGAAGCCACCGGAACUAUGAAGAGGUGCUGGGAAGUGACAGCUUCUGGGGAUUGUGAUCAGAAGGAAAGUCUGAUCACAACAAUGCUGACCCUGCCUGACUCCACUUUGCAUGAGCCAGUUAACAUGUGAAGGGACAGUGAGGCCUAUGUGAAAGGCUGGUCGCAUGUCUCUGCAUCUGCACUGAGCUGGGUCCUCUUGGCUUGCCUCUCCAUUUCUGAGAGGACAGCUUUCUGUAGAUCUAGUGAGAUCAGAGCUGGAGAUGAAGAGAACCCUACAGUUACUUCACUAAGUAUUUGAGUGUGUGUGUGUGUGUGUGUGUGUGUGUGUGUGUGUAUGUGUGUGUGUCUGUGCACAUCUAUGUGAAAUAGAGGAUUAGGGACAGAGAUAGACAAGAGACAGAGACAGAGAGAGACAGGCUUAAACUAAACCUCCUCUUUUGUUGACUUUAUUGUAUGUCUGCUAUGGAUUUGAGCCCCCUCUGGGGGUAGCAUAGGGAGGGGUGGGGACUGUCGGGACAUUUCCUCCAGGACCAGGACCUGAAGCCAACACUGCAACCUAUUGUGCCGGUACGUUCAUUUCAGCUGCUCUUUGAAUCUGAGCCUUGUGACGAGCUUGGGUAUCUUGCUGCUCUUCAGCCAUUGGCUCAGAAUGCUUCCCUCACCUGUCCACUCUGGUCGUCCAGUGGAGGUCUUCCUGCUCCUGGAGCUCAUAUCCUAGAGAGCAACGAUGCAGUCGCCAGUCCUCUCGGCACAGCUCUGCCUCCCUGCAGGUGCAGAAUGUCCCUAGAGAGCCCUGCGUCUCCAUUUCCACAUCUGCCAAAUGAGGGCUUCUCUGAGGACGUUUCUUGGCUCCAACAGGCGUGGGUUUUGGCCAGGCAGCUCCUGUCCCACCCACUCCGGCUUUGCUUUACCCUUUAUUCCCUGUUGUUUUCUUGCCGUGGCUCGCCCCAGCCCAUCUUCUUUCUGCUGGUUCCUUGAGGUAUACUUUCUUCAUUCACACCAAGUUCUUUCUUUCCUCUAGAGAUAACUAGAGAAACUCAGAUCCCUCCUAUAGUUCCUUGUUCCUUUCUUUUCUAAAAUGGGUUUUAUGUUUAUAGAAUAUCUUUUACUAUAAAAUUAAUAUAUAGAUGUUAGAGAAUAUUGAGAAAAUAAGAACCAAAAAAAAAGCGCCAAAAACUCAAAAGCACUCACUGCAUAAGCUGAUGUAUUUUGGUUCUUAGGACACCCAGGACUUUCUGCAGGGUGAGGCCCCGGCAGCUCUCCCCAUGACUCCCACACUCGGCCCUGCCUUUGAGACUCUGGGGCAGCCCCUCCCUAAGUCACUUGCCUGAGAACUCAGGUCUCCAGCUCUGCCACUAAGGGGAUUGAUGUGGGCAUCAGCAGGAUUACCAGACAGGAGGUGGACUUAAGCAGCCCACCAGCUUUCUCUCUGCACCUGCCCCUCCUGCCUCCUCCCUUCUGUUUCCAGAAAGCAACCUACAGGGAUUUGCAAAUUGUGUAUCUGUUUAUGUUGAUCCUACGUCUGAAAACUUUGUAUGUUUUACCGAUGGUCCGGGAAACAGUACCACAAAAACCUACCAGAUUUGACCUUUGACUUCUCUGAGAGUGAGAGCCUCCCUCUUCCCCAUCCCAAGGUCCCAAGCUCUGCCAUGCCAGCCUUUCCACCUGCGGAGGUCUGCUCUUCCCUCAGACUCAAGCUUUCUCCAUUUGUGUCCCUUCAGUGGGAAGUUUGAUUUUUUUCCUUGCUAGUUUUCCAGUCGUUCUUUAGAUUUUAACUCAAGACUGUAUUCCAACUCAAACACAAUCAAUGCCCUUUCCUAAGACACUCCUGAACUGAGGAUACUUUGCAAAUAUUUAUUUGUUUGACAAUUUUCUUUUCCUCUCUUUGCAUGAAUUCAAAACUUGGAAAAGGCAGUUUCUCUGUUGCUCUCUAGGAUAUGACAGCAGCCAAAAUGACACUGGGAACAGAGACUGGCGCAGAGCUGAGCUGUCCUGAGAGAGAGAGGAUGGUGGUUCAUCUAAGACACACAUGUGAGUCAGCUGAUGUCUAUGCCUCCUCAGAACCCUAAGUGAACACAGACCUAUAGGGAUUGGGGGACACUGACAUCUUCUGGGGCUGCAGCAGGGUACACUUAUUUCUAGGGAACUUUGGCCCAGGUGCAGUGUACUUAACAGACCUUAAAUAGUUUGCAUAUGUCCCCAGGAAGGGACCAGCCAGGCCAGUAUCAUGUAAGCCCAUACAGUUUUCAAGACAACAUUUUCCAAACUAUAGAGCUCUUGGAGACAGGAAACAUUAUGUGGGGGACCUAGGUCAGUGGUCAUGGAGCUGGCUGGUCAUGGGGAAAAGUUUUCAUAUGGGGAGUCACUGUCUCUCAAGAUGUAAGAAUUAGAGCCCUAUGAGAGAGGCUUUUUCAAAGCCUCAUAAAUAUUUCACAAAUCUUUGAAAA